rnacentral:rRNA from 1 species
UACGAAGGGGGCUAGCGUUGCUCGGAAUCACUGGGCGUAAAGGGUGCGUAGGCGGGUUUUUAAGUCAGGGGUGAAAUCCUGGAGCUCAACUCCAGAACUGCCUUUGAUACUGAAGAUCUUGAGUCCGGGAGAGGUGAGUGGAACUGCGAGUGUAGAGGUGAAAUUCGUAGAUAUUCGCAAGAACACCAGUGGCGAAGGCGGCUCACUGGCCCGGUACUGACGCUGAGGCUCGAAAGUGCGGGGAUCAAACAGG